AACGAACGCUGGCGGCAGGCCUAACACAUGCGAGUCGAGCGCGCCCUUCGGGGUGAGCGGCGGACGGGUGAGUAACGCGUGGGAACGUGCCCUUUUCUACGGAAUAGCCUCGGGAAACUGAGAGUAAUACCGUAUACGCCCUUUGGGGGAAAGAUUUAUCGGAAAAGGAUCGGCCCGCGUUGGAUUAGGUAGUUGGUGGGGUAAUGGCCUACCAAGCCGACGAUCCAUAGCUGGUUUGAGAGGAUGAUCAGCCACACUGGGACUGAGACACGGCCCAGACUCCUACGGGAGGCAGCAGUGGGGAAUCUUAGACAAUGGGGGCAACCCUGAUCUAGCCAUGCCGCGUGAGUGAUGAAGGCCUUAGGGUUGUAAAGCUCUUUCAGCUGGGAAGAUAAUGACGGUACCAGCAGAAGAAGCCCCGGCUAACUCCGUG
rnacentral:rRNA from 1 species